GGGGUAUUAGCUCAGUUGGUUAGAGCGCUUGCAUGGCAUGCAAGAGGUCAUCGGUUCGACUCCGAUAUGCUCCA
rnacentral:tRNA from 1 species